AUGAACCAGAUACAUCGCCACCAACUCAGCCCACGAUCAGAUACAUCUCCACCAACUCAGCCCACGAUCAGAUACAUCUCCACCAACUCAGCCCACGAUCACGCACCGGCCAAAGAAAAACAACAGUUACGACUCAAUCCACGAUCACGCACCGGCCAAAGAAAAACAACAGUACCACGAUCACGCACCGGCCAAAGAAAAACAACAGUACUCCAUGCAUUGACCAAAAAAACAAACCAAAAAAAAGACACGUCCCAGCCAAACCAAACAAAGAAACAAGUGCGGAAGCUCCAUCGAGCCGUCAUCGCACGUCACCAGGAACGCCAGUUUUUCCUCUCGCUGGACCCAUACUCGCCCUCCGGCCACAUCCGCCGGAACGGAACCAGUCCGGCCACGCCGGAACCAGCAACCUCUGCUCCCGUCUCAUGGUGUUGCUCACCAAGGCCGUCUGUUCCUGCACCCAUCUCCUCUCAUGGUGUUGCUCACCAAGGCCGUCUGUUCCUGCACCCAUCUCCUCACGCCGCAGGUACAUCCUCCUGCCACCAUCCUCACCUGUUGCCUACAAAUAAAAUGCAUUCAUGA
rnacentral:rRNA from 1 species